GACGAACGCUGGCGGCGUGCUUAACACAUGCAAGUCGAACGAAGAGCGAUGGAAGCUUGCUUCUAUCACUCUUAGUGGCGAACGUGUGAGUAACGCGUAAUCAACCUGCCCUUCAGAGGGGGACAACAGUAGGAAACGACUGCUAAUACCGCAUACGAUCUAAUCUCGGCAUCGAGGAUAGAUGAAAGGUGGCCUCUACAUGUAAGCUAUCACUUAAGGAGGGGAUUGCGUCUGAUUAGCUAGGUGGAGGGGUAACGGCCCACCAAGGCGAUGAUCAGUAGCCGGUCUGAGAGGAUGAACGGCCACAAUGGGACUGAGACACGGCCCAGACGCCUACGGGAGGCGGCAGUGGGGAAUCUUCCGCAAUGGACGAAAGUCUGACGGAGCAACGACGCGUGAGCGAUGACGGCCUUCGGGUUGUAAAGCUCGGUUAAUCGGGACGAAAGGCCUUCUUGCGAAUAGUGAGAAGGAUUGACGGUACCGGAAUAGAAAGCCACGGCUAACUACGUG
rnacentral:rRNA from 1 species